UACGGAGGGUGCAAGCGUUAUCCGGAUUCACUGGGUUAAAGGGUGCGUAGGUGGGCAAGUAAGUUCAGUGGUGAAAUCUCCCGGGCUUAACCCGGAAACUGGCCAUUGAUACUAUUUGUCUUGAAUACUGUGGAGGUCAGCGGGAAUAUGUCAUGUAGCGGUGAAAUGCUUAGAUAUGACAUAGAACACCAAUUGCGAAGGCAGCUGGCUACCACAAAUAUUGACACUGAGGCACGAAAGCGUGGGGAUCAAACAGG
rnacentral:rRNA from 1 species